rnacentral:rRNA from 1 species
GACGAACCGUGCGAACGUUGUUCGGAAUCACUGGGCAUAAAGGGCGCGUAGGCGGCUUAUCAAGUCAGGGGUGAAAUCCGGCAGCUUAACUGUCGAAGUGCCCUUGAUACUGACGAGCUCGAGGGAGAUAGGGGUGUGUGGAACUUCCGGUGGAGCGGUGAAAUGCGUUGAUAUCGGAAGGAACGCCGGUGGCGAAAGCGACACACUGGAUCUCUUCUGACGCUGAGGCGCGAAAGCUAGGGGAGCAAACGGG